rnacentral:lncRNA from 1 species
UCGGUUUUAAAAAAAAAUAAAAAAAUAAUAAAAAUAAAUAAAUAAAUAAAAUCCGAGCCAAUUAAAGCAGCCGUGCUCCGGCAGAGCCCUGCCUCCUGCCCAAUUCCCCGAGCCUCCCCGAGCCCCGGCCCAAUUAGAGGCGACACCGCAGGGCUGGGGAGGAAAGGGGCUCGCUCCGGGCGGAGAAAUCAGCCGCCAGCCCCGGGUCCCUCCGUCCUCAGGAUGCUCCCGGCAAGCCAAUCUAAGGCAACGCUUGCCAAGAAACCGUGGGCUUCACGCUCCGAGGUGUCCUUCCCAAAGAUGAUGGCACGGGGAAAGACCUUACAAAGGCGUCUGGUGUUACAGAGACAGAAGGAGACACUGCUGGUCCGACCUGUUCUAAUCAGAGCACAUUGUGAGGAGUAACCUCCAGUCCUGAUUUCUAAGAAGCCGAUAAUAAACCAUUCAUUUGUAUUUCA